AAUGAUACACACCUAAUUCGAGGAAUUGGUUCCUGGUGGUGUGAAGAGGUGAUAGGGAGGAGGCGAUAGGGAAGUGAGGAUACCCAGGGGUUUCCACAGUGUCAGGAAUGUUUUGUUUCUUAGGAUAGGUUGGGUUCACCCAUCUCACAUGAUGCUUUAGGGCUUUUUGGUUUUAAAAUAUAUUUCCUAAUAAUUUCUUGUGACCAUGUUUAUACCCAAAGCCGUUACCGCAAAGCAUAGCUAUGAUAUUUGUCGGUGAAUCUCUCUCCCUUGCUGAGGUGCAAGGACACACCCUCUUGAGGGCAGAAGCACCCAGCUCAGCUGCUCCCAAACUUCUGGCCCACUAGGUUUGGGGGUAAUUUUGUGACACACAAACAGAAAACGAUUACGAGGAAUCACUGAGUGUUCUUGUGCAAAGCAAGGACACUACCAAAGUGGUAUUUUACCGGGCUGUCUUGCGGCCUUCAAAGACCAAAUAGCUAAAUUUGUUUUUUGAUCUGCAAAGCCCCAGGUGGUUAGCACAAACGAGCCCGAGCCCGGAAGAGCCUGCAGCCCCAGACUUCGUGGGCGGGGCAGGCAGCUGUCAGUAAUUUCACUGCAGCCCCAGGAGACCACUCUGGGUCAACUCUGCACUUUUUUCAAUCAAAUCUCCUUGCCUCAGAGGGAGACCCCCUGAGGACAGAAAGUAGACCUGGGGCUUCUCUGCCAACCUCGAGGGCUCAGCUAAGCAUGGGAAAGGGGCAGCUGAUGUGUGAUGCUUCAGAGUUGAGGAAAACGUCCCCAUCCUGGCCGGGAGAUGCUGUGCAGCCGUAAGGACAGAGUGGACACGAAUGGAACAAGACCCCUAAACUUGCAGCUCUCUUUGCAGCCUGGUGUGGACAGAUCUUCGGGACCCCUCUCCCUGCUCUAACAGGUGAAUCCAGCAAGCAAACUGCACAGGCUUGAAGUCAGUACAAUAAAAAUCUGUGCUGUCCCAUGCAGCAGCCAUGCAGGAUGUCUUCAGCCUGUGUUAGAAUGACGAUGCGACCCCUCAGCUCGUGACUGAAGACGCCGGCUGGACAGAUGCACAACAGGAAAAGAUAAAGGGUAGCUGGCUCUCAUGUUUCCCAGCUGCAUGUCUUAGAGAUUGAGGGAACAAUUAACAAACCUGGUCCUCACCUCCCUCCACACAUCGAGAGCAUCAGCAUCUCUGAACUGGUCUGAGGUAUAAACACGGAAUUCUUGUUUAUGUCACCUUCGAUGUAUCACCCAGAGCAAAGGCCAAGUGUACUCUCCCUUUUUUGACAUAUAUGAAAUCGAGUUGUAAGGUUUUUUUUUUUCUUUUCCCCCUCCCUGCGCAUACACUGUUUGUGAAAGAGAUGGAACAGAAGCUGUGCGUAACCUCACACCCCUGGGAGCAGCUCCAUCAGAGGGCUCUGCAGAACUGUUUCCCGGGGUUCCACCUCCUCACGCUGAUUGUUAAAUAAACUCCUCUAAUAUCA